GAAUAGGAGCAAGGUUUUGUAUCAAAAGCCGCCAUGAAAAAUGUUUUCAAACCUUGUAGAGGAAUUGCAGGAGCGGAUGUAUGCACAGGCUUCCCCUGGCUUAAUCUAGGGGUCAAUCAAACAAAUUUUUUUUGAAGGUAGUAGAUAAUAGCUUAGGCCAGCUACACAUAGAGUCGAGCCAGGGUAGGAAUUUCUGUCAAGCCCGGGUAGGAAAUUCUGUAAAGCCUGGUUGGAAUCAUCCGAGAGCUGAUCAAGAUCUGAAAAGUGGACACUGAACGUUUCUUCUGCGUUUUUCCUAGUCUUGGCACAUGAUAAAGUGAAUUUAAAGGCUAUUUGUCGAUGGAAACAAGCUUAACGUACGGAUUCACGUGACCAUAAAUGUUGAAAUGUUUAUCUUAUGUCUACAUAUUGCCAUAUCUUGGUCAUUUCAGAAUAUUUCACAAGUUGAUCCCGACAGUCUGGUGGCUUUGGGUGGUUGAAGUGCCGAAGGUGUGUUACUAGACAUGAUUAAGACUGCCUCAAGCAUGAUUGGCCAGAUAUCACCCGAAGAGCUUUAGAAGAUGACCCAACUGGCUACCUCAUUUCAAGGAGGCACAAUUUAGAAGGGAAGGGGUUUUGAUGCAAUAUGCCAGCUAAAGCUUAUGUAUCCGAUUUUCCUUGUUUACUUCAUGGUAAUGGUCGAGAUGCCAACAGCACGUUCGUCGUUUUAAUUUUGCAUUUUGAGGAACUUCAGGAAAGAACCGGCUGCAUGUGCAUAUGUUGAUAGAGCAAAGCCGCCAAAUGAUGUCGAAUAUGACUGCAAGAUUGAUGAAUCAUGAAUGCAGUACUUGCAGAUGUUUGAGGGUGUGGUGUGAUUAAUUGGCCAAAAGCUAACAUAACUCCAGGAGCAGAGUGACCAAAUUAGAGUGGCUAGGCGAUAGUAGAUUGAAUUCAGUUUUAGUGUUCAAUAUGUGAUUUC